GACGAACGCUGGCGGCGUGCUUAACACAUGCAAGUCGAACGGAAAGACCCUGCUUUUGUGGGGUGCUCGAGUGGCGAACGGGUGAGUAACACGUGAGUAACCUGCCCUUGACUUUGGGAUAACUUCAGGAAACUGGGGCUAAUACCGGAUAGGAGCUCCUGCUGCAUGGUGGGGGUUGGAAAGUUUCGGCGGUUGGGGAUGGACUCGCGGCUUAUCAGCUUGUUGGUGGGGUAGUGGCUUACCAAGGCUUUGACGGGUAGCCGGCCUGAGAGGGUGACCGGCCUCAUCGGCCCUGUGUUGGUGCCCAGAGAAGUCCUGGGGGCAGGGGUUGGGAGUUGUGCGUAAUGGCCUGAAGAGUGAUGCAGCCACGCAGGGAGUGGGAAGACGGUGCUUGCUUUGUAACCUGCUGUCUGCUGCGAAGCGGGGUUGUGGAGGUUAAUGACUACUGGAGUACCAGCCAACUACGU
rnacentral:rRNA from 1 species